GGCUUCCAGAGAUGACGGACUGUAACCCAUAAGGCACAAUACGUCUUUUUCUCUCCGCGUUACCUUUUGGUCGUGGUGUUUAUCACAGCAACAGACAGCAAGCCUGUUGCUGGAACAACAUGCUUAAAUAUAAAGCUUGAAAGAUCUAUGGGAACUCGGAGAAUUUCCAGAAAGAUCCCUGGGGAGCUGGACUUGAAUGCCAGCUGAUGUUUCUCAAGGCAAGAUCUACCUUCUUGAAAGGCACAUCUGCCCCAACCCAGGACACACUCUCCAGGAUCCCCUAGUGGACAUCCAGAAUGGCCGACGGUGGCAACCUUAUGCCCACGCUCCUGCCAGUGUGUUCAUGAAUCAGCUAUGGAAGGAGCCGAUGGGUGACAGCAUCCCUGAGCGAGGAUGAUCACCCCGUCACCUGCAAUUCAGCCGCCAAGUGGGGUAGUCUUGCGAUCCUGGCACUUGGGAGGCUGUGAGGCCCAGAGAACCCUUGAUCGAGCCUGGCUCAAAGAGUACCGGAAGGACUGACUCUCCAUGCAGACCCUGCAGAAGACGCCCUAGGGCCCCGGAGAGCCCAGGCUCGCCCCUUCCUCACCACAGCUCAGCUCUGUGCUCGGUGGGACCACAUCUCACUCCAUCCUAUGUCCCCAAGACAAGCCCAGGGGGCUGGUCUUCCUAGCACACAGCCAUGUGUUCAAGCUAUCCGCACAAUUAUCACCCAUUUUGUGCUGUGCUUUAAAUGGACUCCUGUUUUUUUUAACUGUAAAUAGACGUAUAGGACAAGGCAGCUUUACAGUACUAUAAACGAAACGUCAG